GAUGAACGCUGGCGGCGUGCAUAACACAUUCAAGUCGAACGGAGUUUAGAGGAUUAAUCCUUCGGGAAGCGUCUUUUAAGCUUAGUGGCGGACGGGUGAGUAACGCGUGAGCAACCUGCCCUUAUGUGUGGAAUAACGUUUGGAAACGAACGCUAAUACCGCAUAACGCAUGGACAUCGCAUGGUGACCAUGCCAAAGAUUUAUUGCAUAAGGAUGGGCUCGCGUCUGAUUAGAUAGUUGGUGGGGUAACGGCCUACCAAGGCGACGAUCAGUAGCCGACCUGAGAGGGUGAUCGGCCACAUUGGAACUGAGAUACGGCCCAGACUCCUACGGGAGGCAGCAGUGGGGAAUAUUGGGCAAUGGGGGAACCCUGACCCAGCAACGCCGCGUGAAGGAAGAAGGCCUUCGGGUUGU
rnacentral:rRNA from 1 species